ACUCUGAAUAUCGUGUGAAAUCAGUCCAAUGGAAGAGCGUGACGUCACGGGCGGGGUGACGUAAGCGACCAGGAAGCUAUAAAAGCACAUGCCGCGCAGCUGGCAUCAGCUUUGCGUCUUCAGCAAGCGCUCUGUGUGUGCAUGUCAUUUUGUCUUGUGAGUCUUAUUUACUGUUGUCUGUCCAGUAGAGCUCCAAGCAAUGUCCAAGUGCAAGGCGAAAUCCAAACACUCUAAAGGCGAAUCCGGAUCGCGUUUCAGACUGUGUGUCCCUCCCUGCCCGCGCUACAUUACGAGCGGGGAUACACACAGUCUGUGCGUGGUCUGCCUGGGUUCGAAGCACGCCGAGUCGGCUCUCGAGGGGGCCGACUGUCCGCAUUGUGAGAGGAUGUCGGUGCGGCUGCUUCGUUCCCGGAGGGCUCUCUUUGAGGAGGGAGCCUUCGCCAGCGUUCCCCGCGGUGCUGGCCCCGCUUCUGCCGAGGCAGAACGGCAGCUGCACUCGUGGGGUUCGCAAGUGGAUCUGACAGAGGGAAUGGAGACGGGCGAGUCCCUAUCUCCUUCCACUUCUGCCAGAUCCGGCGCCCAAUCUCUGGAGUCGGAAGCACGCUCUGCGGUUCCUUCCACCCAGGGAGAGGGAUCGACACUCCGCCUCUCUUCCUCCGAGGAGGUCGAUGUGGAGUCUGUCGACAGGGAUUCGCCACCCCACUCGCCUAGGUAUGAGGAGCUCUUGGAGGUGGUGACUCGUGCGGUGGCCAAGUUGAGUCUUGACUGGCCCGCCGAGAAAACAACCGAACCGCAGAAAAGCAAGCUCGACGAACGCUUUCUGCGGGCGAGUCAGCCACCUCCUUGCCGGGGCCUUCCUUUUUUUCCCGAUCUACAUGAAGAGAUCGCUAGAUCGUGGAAGAGGCCAUUCUCAGCCCGCCUGUAUAUCCCCUCUUCAGAUUACUACGGCAAUGUAGUGGGGAUUACAGAGCGCGGCUACAGAGCGAUGCCCCGGGUGGAACAGACGCUCGCGAGCUAUCUGUCCCCCGGUACGGCAUCGUCUCUGAAGGCCCCGGCAUUGCCCUCCAAGCCGCUCAGAACAACUUCGGCUUUGGUGGGCAAAGGGUAUGCGGCAGCAGGUCAGGCUGGUGCGUGUCUGCACACCAUGGCGGUGUUACAGGCGUACCAGGCUGACCUGCUGAAGGAGCUUGAUGAGGGAGAGGAGAUCAAGUCCGAUGACAUCACUGAGCUCAGAAGGACCGCUGAUCUCUCCCUCCGCGCCACCAAGGAGACCGCCCGAGCGAUUGGGCGGUCCAUGGCAGCUAUGGUGGCUGCGGAGAGGCAUUUGUGGCUGACCCUGUCUGAAAUGAAAGAGCGGGACAGGGUCUGCCUUAUGGACGCCCCGAUCCAGCCUUCUGGCCUGUUCGGCGACGCAGUCAACGACAGGUUUCAGGAG
ensembl:lncRNA